GACGAACGCUGGCGGCGUGCUUAACACAUGCAAGUCGAACGGAAAGGCCCUGCUUUUGUGGGGUGCUCGAGUGGCGAACGGGUGUGUAACACGUGAGUAACCUGCCCUUGACUUUGGGAUAACUUCAGGAAACUGGGGCUAAUACCGGAUAGGAGCUCCUGCUGCAUGGUGGGGGUUGGAAAGUUUCGGCGGUUGGGGAUGGACUCGCGGCUUAUCAGCUUGUUGGUGGGGUAGUGGCUUACCAAGGCUUUGACGGGUAGCCGGCCUGAGAGGGUGACCGGCCACAUUGGGACUGAGAUACGGCCCAGACUCCUACGGGAGGCAGCAGUGGGGAAUAUUGCACAAUGGGCGGAAGCCUGAUGCAGCAACGCCGCGUGCGGGAUGACGGCCUUCGGGUUGUAAACCGCUUUCGCCUGUGACGAAGCGAGAGUGACGGUAAUGGGUAAAGAAGCACCGGCUAACUACGUG
rnacentral:rRNA from 1 species